UGAACAUCGGAGAAAGUAUGAGCGCA
rnacentral:piRNA from 1 species